rnacentral:rRNA from 1 species
AUUGAACGCUGGCGGCAGGCCUAACACAUGCAAGUCGAGCGGGGUUUUCGGACCUAGCGGCGGACGGGUGAGUAAUGCGUAGGAAGCUACCCGAUAGAGGGGGAUACCAGUUGGAAACGACUGUUAAUACCGCAUAAUGUCUACGGACCAAAGUGUGGGACCUUCGGGCCACAUGCUAUCGGAUGCGCCUACGUGGGAUUAGCUAGUUGGUGGGGGAAUGGCUCACCAAGGCGACGAUCCCUAGCUGGUUUGAGAGGAUGAUCAGCCACACUGGAACUGGGACACGGUCCAGACUCCUACGGGAGGCAGCAGUGGGGAAUAUUGGACAAUGGGCGCAAGCCUGAUCCAGCCAUGCCGCGUGUGUGAAGAAGGCCUUCGGGUUGUAAAGCACUUUCAGUAGGGAGGAAGGGUGUUGUGUUAAUAGCACAGCAUUUUGACGUUACCUACAGAAGAAGCACCGGCUAACUCUGUGCCAGCAGCCGCCGUAAUAC